CUUAGUGCGAAAAAAAAGGUCUGGUAUAUUUAUAGGCCUACAAGUGGCGUGUAGUGUAGGCAAAGCCAAUUAACCAUAAAACAGCUCUGGUGUUUGGUGAUAUAUACGUGGAUAAUGAAUUGCAAACGUGUACACUGGACAACCAAAGAGAAUACGUUCAAUAGAAUGACGUACGUUAUGCGAUUGCGCUGUGCAAGACUUCCGUUUCUGACUAUAGCCUAAUUCAAUAGCUAUCACAAUUAGUAACUGCUAGCUAGCUAGUUUAGCACCUAUAUCGUGUUGUAUACAUAAGGUUAAGAAGACAUGGAUAGAAGGUCCUGGUUGCCGGUUUGUGUGAUCCUGUUGCUGGCACUCCAAGACUCUUCGCAGGAGAGAGUUGAAGGUUUUACAAGAGGGAAGGUUAUUUUACCAUGUAGGUACAAUGCAAUGCCUACUGAAAAGGUCACCAUAUUUUGGCGAUACAAGGAUGACCGUAAUGUCUACAAUAUUGUCAGUGGAAAAUCAGACUUGACAGACCAACACCGUCAGUUCAGAGACAGAACCAGGAUUUUCCCAGAGGAAUUGGCAAACGGCAACUUCUCUCUCCUACUGACUGAUCUCAAGGACUCUGAUAGUGGGAGUUAUUCAUGUUUCAUACCAAGAGUGAACAUUCGGCAUCAAGUGGAACUUUCUGUUCAAGAGAAACCAACUCCUGAAGUUGGUUCAAAGAGCAGCAGCAUGAGCAUCAAAGGACAGAACCUCAUCCUCUUCCUGUUUCUCCUCCUCAGUCCAGAUCUCCAUUUCCUUUGAUGUACAUCACAUAAAUUGGUCAUUGUACUGCUUAUGAGACUUGACAAGUUCUGAGUGGUUAAACUGCUGAAAUACUUUUUAUUUUUUAUGUAUGUAAUAAGUGACUGCAAAUAUAUAUCUUGCUUGAACCACCUUCCUAGAGGUGAGUAAAAUAGUUAUUCCAAAUUGCAUGAAGCCAAAGUGUUUACUGAUAGGACCACUGCAACACCUAAUGGGGAUCCUAGUAAAAUACCAAACAUUUUAGCUUUGCUUUUGUGAACUAAAUGUAAUGCACUUAAUACAAUAUUUGUUCUGAUUUAAAGGCAUAAUGUUUUUAAAAACCAGGGCCAUCUGUUAAAUCAAAUUGGAAAUAGAAUUGAGUCAAUGUGUCCCUUCUGUCAACAAGAUGCAGCUUUACUUACUAAGAUAUUGAAGUAUUUCCAGAUCAGUUAUUAAUAUUGUACUACCAAAUGACUAAUGUUUUGUUGAUAUCGAACAUGUGCUCCACAGUAAAACGCUUAUUAGUUCAACCUUUCAAUUAGAAAGUAUUUUACUUUGACACCACAGUGUUUUUAAAGGAAACAUAUUCACUUCCUCAAUGCUCUAUAUUAAAGAGUGUUUCUUUUAGCUUUUUGUAAACUAUGGUUUGAUCAUGUUGUUGCAUUGUGUGUUCAGACAGAUGUCUGUUAGAAGCAGGAAGUCAGUUCAGUCUCAAAUAUUUAUCACAGCUCUGAGGAUGUUGAGGAUUGUUGCCUGUCUGCUCUGUAAGACUAUUAUUCUUAUGUUAUUUAUUUUACAUUAAUUUUACAAUAAAUGAAGUGUCUCUUUGAUUCUUCUGUUCUUAGGUGUCUUAAAACUGUGCUGGAACUGAGGCUUUGACAGAGACACUGGUAGAACUUGGACACAAUGCAACACUGAACUGUUCAGUUCUGAUAAAUGGCAUAUUAUAUUUUUUAUCUUACUAAAACUUUAGACUGGAUACCAGGCUAACCUUUCCUGCCUUUACAAGCAAUGUUAGGACUAUCUGUUACUGUACUUUUGACUGCAUGGAGACCCAAUACACACUGUAAGAUGUUACUCAGUGAAGUGUGAUCACAAUAGUCUAUACUAAUUCCAUCUGUAUGGGUCAUCUUAGCCAUUUCAGUGCUGUGGAAGAGAGCUGCUUGCCAGAAGAACCAUGACUCCUCCAACCCCUGAACCACCUGAAAGGACAGACAGUCUAGAGUAUGUGAUACAGCUGGUACUCACACCAAGAGGACCAAGGCCCGACCAUGUUGCCUCAACUAUUUACUCCAGAGUUCAGUUUCCAGUAUUUCUGAGGAGUAUUUCUGUCUGUAAUAAAGCCCUUUUGUGUGAAGAACUCACUGUGAUUGACUGGGCCUGGCUCCCCUGUGGGUGGACCUGGCUUCCAAUCGGGUGGGCCUAAGACCUCCCAGGCCUACCCAUGGCUGUGAAAUCCAUAGGUUAGGGCCUAGUUAAUGUAUUUAAAUUGACUGAUUUCCUUCAAUUAACUGUAACUUGUUACGUUUAUGUUUUUGUUCAGUAUAUAAAAGUUUUUAAAAUGUAUGUAGCGACUAAGGAUUCUAGCUUUAAUACCAGGGAUAUUUUUGAAAAGCACUUUUUCAACAGAAUUUCCUGCCCUGUAUAUUUUUUUACCGUUUGACCUUCUGCAUAAUGAGAAAUGGUCACUAAGCAAGAGAUGAAUUGACACUCACCACUUCCUCUUUGCACAGACUGCGCUCAUUACUUUUUGAAGUUUUGACUUCAUUACUUCAGUUAGGUUUUCCACUAGUAAUGUAAGCUGAAAGUUUUGCUAUGAGACUCAAAAUUUAACUCAGGUCCAUCCUGUUUCCAUUGAUCAUCCUUGAGACAUUUCUACAACUUGAUUGGAGUCCACCUGUGGUAAAUUCCAUUGAUUGGACAUGAUUUGGAAAGGCACACAACUGUCUAUAUAAGGUCCCACAGCUGACAGUGCAUGUCAGAGCAAAAAACAAGCCAAAAAAGGUCAAUGGAAAAAAACAGACAAAGCCCCCCAAUUGAAUACAUUUUAGAAUAAGGCUGUAACGUAAUAAAAUGUCAAGGGGUCUAAAUACUUUCCGAAUGCACUGUACAAAAUGGGCUGUGCAGUAAAUCUGUUUGGUUUACCCCAGAGAUGUAUACUGACUAAAUCAGACCUGCAACUGCAGGUCAUCAUGGGAGAACUGUCUUCUGUUCAUUUACAGUGUUCUGAAUGUUAUUCUGAUGGUUAUGAUCCUGGGUGAGUGAAUGGAAAUACUAGAUAUCAAAAUGUAAACAUUUUAAAUAGUUUAACAUUUUAAUGUUGUAUGCUGAGAAUGUUGCUUGUGUAAUAUUGAUAUUUCAGUACAUAUCAUGACUUUGGCAUGUCAGAACAGAAGCUGCUUUUAAAAACUAAGACCACCUCAAGAUGCAGACCAGAGGUAAGAGACUUUUUGUUUGGUGCCUAAACAGUUGCACACCAACUGAUUCAACUUAAACACUAUCAAAUACUGAAACUCAUACAACAUAUUAACUUAACUAAUAACUUUGGACUGUAGAUAUGGUCUUUUUAAAAUAUGAAUUGCAUUGUUUGUUUUUUCAAAGUCAUGUGACAAUGAUACAGUGAACAUAUUACUAAAAUACUGUUGUGAAUAUGCCUGUAUCCUAUCACCCCUUUCUACCGCUAGUCAGUAAUUAAUAAAUACAUGUGUUUCUUAAUUUA